rnacentral:rRNA from 1 species
CAGGGAAACUUGGGCUAACACCGCAUAAUGCAGCGGCACCACAUGGUGACAGUUGUUAAAGCGGGGGAUUUUAGGACCUCGCGCCUGGAGAGGAGCCUGCGGCAGAUUAGCUAGUUGGUAAGGUAACGGCUUACCAAGGCUACGAUCUGUAACCGGCCUGAGAGGGCGGUCGGUCACACUGACACUGACAUACGGGUCAGACUCCUACGGGAGGCAGCAGUCGGGAAUUUUGGGCAAUGGGCGAAAGCCUGACCCAGCAACGCCGCGUGAGGGAUGAAAUCCCUCGGGAUGUAAACUUCGCAAGAUUGGGAAGAAUUAGUAGGGGUUAAUACCCCCUAUGAUGACGGUACCUUUUGUAAGCUCCGGCUAACUCCGAGCCAGCAGCCGCGGUAAUACGGGGGGAGCAAGCGUUGUUCGGAUUUACUGGGCGUAAAGGGCGCGUAGGCGGUCAGCACAAGUCAGUUGUGAAAUCUCCGGGCUUAACUCGGAACGGUCAACUGAUACUGUGCGACUAGAGUGCAGAAGGGGCAACUGGAAUUCUCGGUGUAGCGGUGAAAUGCGUAGAUAUCGAGAGGAACACCUGCGGCGAAGGCGGGUUGCUGGGCUGACACUGACGCUGAGGCGCGAAAGCCAGGGGAGCGAACG